CAAAACCCCAGCUCUUUGGAAAUGUGUCUAGCAGGUUUUCCAGUCUUUACUGGAAACCGCCCUA